UACGUAGGGUGCGAGCGUUAAUCGGAAUUACUGGGCGUAAAGUGUGCGCAGGCGGCUCUGCAAGUCGAGUGUGAAAUCCCCGGGCUCAACCUGGGAAUGGCAUUUGGGACUGCAAGGCUGGAGUGCGGCAGAGGAGACUGGAAUUCCUGGUGUAGCAGUGAAAUGCGUAGAUAUCAGGAGGAAUACCGAUGGCGAAGGCAGGUCUCUGGGCUGACACUGACGCUCAUGCACGAAAGCGUGGGGAGCAAACAGG
rnacentral:rRNA from 1 species